GAUGAACGCUGGCGGCGUGCCUAAUACAUGCAAGUCGAGCGAACGGACGAGAAGCUUGCUUCUCUGAUGUUAGCGGCGGACGGGUGAGUAACACGUGUAUAACCUACCUAUAAGACUGGGAUAACUUCGGGAAACCGGAGCUAAUACCGGCUAAUAUUUUCAACCGCAUGGUUCAAAAGUGACAGACGGUCUUGCUGUCACUUAUAGAUGGAUCCGCUCUGCAUUAGCUAGUGGGUAAGGUAACGGCUUACCAAGGCAACGAUGCAUAGCCGAUCUGAGAGGGUGAUCAGCCACACUGGAACUGAGACACGGUCCAGACUCCUACGGGAGGCAGCAGUAGGGAAUAUUGCGCAAUGGGCGAAAGCCUGACGGAGCAAUGCCGCGUGUGUGAUGAAGGUCUUCGGGUCGUAAAACUCUGUUAGCAGGGAAGAACAUAUGUGUAAGAAACUCUGCACACAUUGACGGUACCUAAAGAGAAAGCCACGGCUAACUACGUG
rnacentral:rRNA from 1 species